rnacentral:rRNA from 1 species
AAUAUUGCGCAAUGGAGGAAACUCUGACGCAGCGACGCCGCGUGAGCGAUGAAGGCCUUCGGGUCGUAAAGCCCUGUCCUCAGGGAAGAAAACGAUGACGGUACCUGGGGAUGAAGCCCCCGCUAACUACGGGCCAGCAGCCGCGGUAAUACGUAGGGGGCAAGCGUUGUCCGGAAUUAUUGGGCGUAAAGGGUGCGUAGGCGGCUUAUUAAGUCUGAGGUGAAAGACCACGGCUUACCCGUGGGGUUGCAUUGGAAACUGGUGGGCUUGAGUGUCGGAGAGGACAGUGGAAUUCCUAGUGUAGCGGUGAAAUGCGUAGAUAUUAGGAGGAACACCAGUGGCGAAGGCGACUGUCUGGACGACAACUGACGCUGAGGCACGAAAGCUAGGGGAGCGAAC